GUCUACAGCCAUACCACCCUGAACACGCCCAAUCUCGUCUGAUCUCAGAAGCUAAGCAGGGUCGGGCCUGGCUAGUACUUGAAUGGGAGAAAUAAAACACAGUGCCUUAGAUC
rnacentral:rRNA from 1 species